rnacentral:lncRNA from 1 species
GUUUCCAAUUGUAGAAUGGCUUUGAGCGGAGGCAGUUUGUAUUGGAGUGGCUAGAGCCGUGCAUUAGAUUUAUUUUUUACUUCUGCCGUUGCAACGCGUGGCGUUGUGGUCUUGUUGCAGUGCGACGGUGUCGCAAGAUUGUUUUUGUGUCUGUGUGAUCUUUUGGAAGCUUGAUUGCGCUUCCAAGCGGACCUUGUGUACAAAGUU